AUUGAACGCUGGCGGCAUGCCUUACACAUGCAAGUCGAACGGCAGCACGGGAGCAAUCCUGGUGGCGAGUGGCGAACGGGUGAGUAAUGUAUCGGAACGUACCAUUGAGUGGGGGAUAACGUAGCGAAAGUUACGCUAAUACCGCAUAUACCCUGAGGGGGAAAGCAGGGGAUCGCAAGACCUUGUGCUCUUUGAGCGGCCGAUAUCAGAUUAGCUAGUUGGUGAGGUAAAGGCUCACCAAGGCGACGAUCUGUAGCGGGUCUGAGAGGAUGAUCCGCCACACUGGAACUGAGACGCGGUCCAGACUCCUACGGGAGGCAGCAGUGGGGAAUUUUGGACAAUGGGGGCAACCCUGAUCCAGCCAUGCCGCGUGAGUGAAGAAGGCCUUAGGGUUGUAAACCGCUUUCAGUAGGGACGAAGGCAAACAGGUUAAUAGCCUGUGCGUUGACGGUACCUACAGAAGAAGGUCCGGCUAACUACGUGCCAGCCGCCGCGGUAAAAC
rnacentral:rRNA from 1 species